UACGUAGGGUGCAAGCGUUGUCCGGAAUUAUUGGGCGUAAAGAGCUUGUAGGCGGUCUGUCGCGUCGGUCGUGAAAACUUGGGGCUUAACCCUGAGCUUGCGGUCGAUACGGGCAUGACUGGAGUUCGGUAGGGGAGACUGGAAUUCCUGGUGUAGCGGUGAAAUGCGCAGAUAUCAGGAGGAACACCGGUGGCGAAGGCGGGUCUCUGGGCCGAUACUGACGCUGAGGAGCGAAAGCGUGGGGAGCGAACAGG
rnacentral:rRNA from 1 species